rnacentral:piRNA from 1 species
CUGAGAUGACUAGGAAGACAGGAAGCAGU